rnacentral:rRNA from 1 species
GAGAAUGCCGGUGUGAGUAGCGAAAGACGGGUGAGAAUCCCGUCCACCGAUUGACUAAGGUUUCCAGAGGAAGGCUCGUCCGCUCUGGGUUAGUCGGGUCCUAAGCUGAGGCCGACAGGCGUAGGCGAUGGAUAACAGGUUGAUAUUCCUGUACCACCUAUAAUCGUUUUAAUCGAUGGGGGGACGCAGUAGGAUAGGCGAAGCGUGCGAUUGGAUUGCACGUCUAAGCAGUAAGGCUGAGUAUUAGGCAAAUCCGGUACUCGUUAAGGCUGAGCUGUGAUGGGGAGAAGACAUUGUGUCUUCGAGUCGUUGAUUUCACACUGCCGAGAAAAGCCUCUAGAUAGAAAAUAGGUGCCCGUACCGCAAACCGACACAGGUAGUCAAGAUGAGAAUUCUAAGGUGAGCGAGCGAACUCUCGUUAAGGAACUCGGCAAAAUGACCCCGUAACUUCGGGAGAAGGGGUGCUCUUUAGGGUUAACGCCCAGAAGAGCCGCAGUGAAUAGGCCCAAGCGACUGUUUAUCAAAAACACAGGUCUCUGCUAAACCGUAAGGUGAUGUAUAGGGGCUGACGCCUGCCCGGUGCUGGAAGGUUAAGAGGAGUGGUUAGCUUCUGCGAAGCUACGAAUCGAAGCCCCAGUAAACGGCGGCCGUAACUAUAACGGUCCUAAGGUAGCGAAAUUCCUUGUCGGGUAAGUUCCGACCCGCACGAAAGGCGUAACGAUUUGGGCACUGUCUCAACGAGAGACUCGGUGAAAUCAUAGUACCUGUGAAGAUGCAGGUUACCCGCGACAGGACGGAAAGACCCCGUGGAGCUUUACUGUAGCCUGAUAUUGAAAUUCGGCACAGCUUGUACAGGAUAGGUAGGAGCCUUUGAAACGUGAGCGCUAGCUUACGUGGAGGCGCUGGUGGGAUACUACCCUAGCUGUGUUGGCUUUCUAACCCGCACCACUUAUCGUGGUGGGAGACAGUGUCAGG